rnacentral:lncRNA from 10 species
AACAAAUGCAAAAGGCCAUAAUUCUUCUCUCAAUAUAAGUUGGAAGAGUUCCUUUUAGGAAAUAAUGACUUGUCUUGCAUAUCAUUCAGCAACUGAGCAUUUAUGUGAUGGGUAAAGGCCAAAUCUCACCCAGAUUUGUAACAUAUAGGCAGGUCAGCAUUUCAUUUUGAGGUGGUUUCCUAGGGCCUACCAUUACAAGCCUGCAUCUUCUGUCUGGAUAAACCAUAAUGUGGCUUUUAUGAUUAAAAAAUGAGACAGAGAGAAUUUUGCUUUCUUUAUUAUUGGUCAUGUAUCAUGUAAGCACUAUCCGAAUAUUUUCCACAAUGAUUGUAGCUCUCUCCUCAAUUCCUGUCUGAUAGUCCAAACAGCAUGAUCCUGGAAAAUAUACAGCUGGUGUUAGUAAAAGAAACAUGCAUAGGACACGGCCAUCAACAUCCAGACAAGCCCCUAAGAGAAAAACUGGGACAGUUCCAGGCACUUUUCAAGACAUAUUAAAAUGAAGACAGAUGGCCUCCAUCUUUAAGCAGCUCGCUGUCUUAUAAUGGUGACAGGCUGGUAAACAAAUAUUUUUCUUUGUGUUUCUAGUGUAAACAACCAAAACUCCAAAAGGCCUGCAGCCUCAGCCCCUCUCACAUUACUCCGUGUUACAUUCCACUUCUGGUCAAUUGAAGUAUUUAUCUUGUUUUAAAGCAGGGAUGUCUUUUAAACAUUGUCUUUAUGAAUUAUCUAUCCUGAUGUACAGUUAGAGCAGUGCAGUGCUUCUCAGCAUAAACUUGAAACUCAAACUAAUUGGGAUAACACAUCCUAAUAUUUGCUAUGGUUUUAAAUAUUUUAUAAGUAUGGGAAUUAGCUGUUAAAAUUACAAACAAAAAACAUGAGACGUAAAAGCAUUUUGUAAACAAAAUUAUUUUAAAUUGUUCAUUAGAAGAAAUGUCAUACAAAAAAAUAAUAAAAUGAGUUCUCAUAUUUAGUCCACGCAACUACAACAGUUAUAACCAGUCCGCUGUUCUUGUUUAAUCUCUACCCAUUACAAAACUCUUUUUUUCUUCUUUUAAUAGAAAGGAGAUACUAGGGCAUUUUAAAGCAAAUUCAUGCAUUAUAUUAUUUCUCCUAUAAAGACUUCAUACCUAUGAAAAAGGGAUUUUUCUUAAAACACACACAAAACAACAUUAUCACACCCAACACAAUUAACAAUAAUUGUUUAAUAUCAUCUAAUGACUUGUCUGUGUCUAAUUUGCCGUAGUUCUCCCAAGAACUACCUUUUUCCUGUUGAUAAGGGCCACACUUUACAAUGAUUGAUUGCUGUUUUAAUGAUUAUUAGUGUGUUCUCCCCAUUUCCUUCCAAUAUCAUUUAUUUUGGGGAACAAUUAAAACUUCCCACAUUCUGGAUUUUGCUUAUUUUUCUUUUUGUGUAAAUUAGCAUAUUCUCCUGUCUCUCUUUUUUCUUUGAAUUAGUAGUUAUACUUGCAGGCUUAAUUAGAUAAAGUCUUUUUUCAGGAAUAUUUUAUAAGAGGUGCUGUAUAAUUUCUGUGGCUUUACAUUAUGUGCACAUAAUAUCUGGUCUACUUUUGGUGAUAUUAAGAUUAAUUAGGGGGCUCAGGUGGUCAACUGGGAUCUGUCCAUUAUAAUUUUCCAUUAACCAUUCACUUAAUGGUGUUAGCAGCCACUGAUGAUUGUAACCUAGAUCCAUUAUUCCAUUGGUAUAGCAAAAUUGCAAUUUUCUAAUUCUGUCAUUUGUCCUGCAUAUAUUAGCUAUGAUAAUUUUAUUAAAGAAUAAUAUUCCUUCAAUAGCUAUUUGGUUACCCUGAAAUACCGGAAAUACCCUGAAAUACAGGAAAGGGAAAAUAAAUGCUUGAUCCUUUACCUUUUUGAUCAGUUUUCAGAGUAAUGAGUUAGUGCCUUAUUUUGCUCUUCUGCUGAGUUUUCAUGGUGCUUUAAAAUAUAGCAAUAUUAUUUUUCAUCUCCACAUAGCACUUCUUUAUUUUACAUGGUUGCUUUUCUGUGGUAUCCCAAACUGAUUUGAAAAAAGUACAUUCUCUUACAUCUUCAAUCUCCUUGAAUCCAAAAAUUAUGAAUCUCCUAAAUAUUAAUCUGCUUUGUAUGUCAGUCAGUAAGGAAAAGAAAUUAUGCUAGGUUUUCAAUCAAUGGAAAUGUAAUAUAGGACAUUGGUUACAAAAACGAUAGUAGGGUUAAAUAAUUUUUUUAAAAAGGAGGAUAUUAUUAGUAACUCAGGAAGCCACUGCCCACUUAAGCUAAAGGACAAAUGGGGAAAGAGUAUAUAGUGCCCACAAUAACUUCAUCACUAAGGCUACAGGAGCAUCUGCUACCACCAUUAUCACCACUGUUGCUGCUUCUAUGGCAGAAGCCUGGAACUCACAUUUCCACUGAUGCUGCAGGAUCUCAAAUACUUCUAAUACAGCUGCUGCCGGAGCCAGAGCACCUGAGCACUAUGUUGAUGGGGAUGAUAGAGCACUCACGUUGCACUGCUGCUGAAACUACAUCUGAAGAACCCAGGAGCCUGCAUUUUUCCUGUGCAGCUGUCACUGCUGGAGAAGCCACCAAAAACCUAAAAUAGGAAGAAAGAUUACUUCUCUCUUCCUCAUGCCUUUCAGUCUAAUUUCCAACAGUGCUUUUCACUGAUAGACCCUACCCAGAAGAACCAUGCUAGUAAGGGAGUCUGUGAAAGGUAGCUUUCAGACUUCCAUUUCCCUGUAAUAUAUAGCAAAGCUUGAAAGGGCAAGAUGAAGCUAAGAGCAGUCAGAUAAAUGGCCACAUAUACUACUUUUAUUAUUGCAGAGGGAGUCAACUCCUAUAAGUCUUCCUGUAAGUCUUCACGGUAUCUCAAGCCACAGAGUUUUUUAUAAGUUCUAUGAUUUUCCUUGUUUACUAAUCCAUAAGGAGGAAGUUUUGUGUCUGUCCAUAGUGAUCCUGAAGUCAAAUCAGAGUUAAAUUUAACUCAAAAAUUCCAAAGAGGGCUUUGCUUUCAGAUCAGUGGCAUAACAUUUAAAAAUAUGUAAAUAUUGACAUCUGACCAUUUUGGAGAUCAAACUAUCUGGGCAGUAAAAUGAACCAAAGUCAUGGCCUUUACUCGGAGCUUCAUAUCUGUAAGAUAACACGGACAGCAUCCCUGAGGAAAGGCCCCUCACUGAACUGGAACUCUGUUAAGUGACAGUUGUUGCUUGGAUCCAGGUUGGGGUCCUUCCAGGUACUUUUAUUGCAGCCAAUCUAUAACAUGAGGGGAAGCCAAAGAGACACCACUAAAGAAUCCCUCAGAUUGUCCUUGCUCUCCAUAUACAGGUCAGAAAACCUUUGUCUCUUAGAAAGCUGUGCCAUGUAGAUGGGGCUUUUUCCUGUUUGGCUACCAGGAACAAGACCAUAGAUCUCCCACCUUUUCCCAUCAAUCGAAUCACUAUUUUACCUUAUAGAUGUUUUUC